AGACGGAGUACACAAUCUCUC
rnacentral:miRNA from 1 species